rnacentral:misc_RNA from 1 species
GAUGAAGAACGCAGCGAAAUGCGAUAAGUAAUGUGAAUUGCAGAAUUCAGUGAAUCAUCGAAUCUUUGAACGCACAUUGCGCCCGCCAGUAUUCUGGCGGGCAUGCCUGUUCGAGCGUCAUUACAACCCUCAGGCCCCCGGGCCUGGCGUUGGGGAUCGGCGGAAGCCCCCUGCGGGCACAACGCCGUCCCCCAAAUACAGUGGCGGUCCCGCCGCAGCUUCCAUCGCGUAGUAGCUAACACCUCGCAACUGGAGAGCGGCGCGGCCACGCCGUAAAACACCCAACUUCUGAAUGUUGACCUCGAAUCAGGUAGGAAUACCCGCUGAACUUAAGCAUAUCAAUAAGCGGAGGA